GGGGAUUUUGGCAUGGGCGCAAGCCUGAUCCAGCCAUGCCGCGUGCAGGAAGAAGGCCUUCGGGUUGUAAACUGCUUUUGUCAGGGAAGAAAUCUUCUGGGCUAAUACCCCGGGAGGAUGACGGUACCUGAAGAAUAAGCACCGGCUAACUACGUGCCAGCAGCCGCGGUAAU
rnacentral:rRNA from 1 species